rnacentral:tRNA from 1 species
GGUAGCAUGGCUGAGAGGCCGAAGGCAGCGGUUUGCUAAACCGUCGAGUCGCAAGGCUCCGCAGGUUCGAAUCCUGCUGCUACCGCCA